GACGAACGCUGGCGGCGUGCCUAACACAUGCAAGUCGAACGGAAAGGCCCUGCUCUUGCGGGGUGCUCGAGUGGCGAACGGGUGAGUAACACGUGAGUAACCCGCCCCUGACUUUGGGAUAACUUCAGGAAACUGGGGCUAAUACCGGAUAGGAGCUCUUGCUGCAUGGUGGGGGUUGGAAAGAUUCGGCGGUUGGGGAUGGACUCGCGGCUUAUCAGCUUGUUUGUGGGGUAGUGGCUUACCAAGGCUUUGACGGGUAGCCGGCCUGAGAGGGUGACCGGGCACAAUAGGACUGCGGGACGGACCAGAAUGCUACGGGAGGCAGCAGUCGAGAAUAUUGCGCAAUGGGCGGAAGCCUGAUGCAGCGACGUCGCGUGCGGGAAGACGUGCUUCGGGUGAUAAACCGCUUUCGCAUGUACCGAAGCGUGAGUGACGGUAAUGGAUAAGAAAGCACCGGCUAACUACGUG
rnacentral:rRNA from 1 species